rnacentral:rRNA from 1 species
AGCACCACAACAGGUGGAGCCUGCGGUUUAAUCGGACUCAAACGCCGGGAAACUCACCAGAUAAGACAGCUGAAUGAUAGUCGGGCUGAAGACUCUACUUGACUAGCUGAGAGGAGGUGCAUGGCCGUCGUCAGUUCGUAUUGUGAAGCAUCCUGUUAAGUCAGGCAACGAGCGAGACCCACGCCAACAGUUGCCAGCUCGUCCUCCGGGAUGGUGGGGACACUGUUGGGACCGCCUCUGCUAAAGAGGAGGAAGGAAUGGGCAACGGUAGGUCAGCAUGCCCCGAAUUAUCUGGGCUACACGCGGGCUACAAUGGGUGGGACAAUGGGUAUCGACACCGAAAGGUGAAGGCAAUCUCCUAAACCCAUCCGUAGUUCGGAUUGUGGGCUGCAACUCGCCCACAUGAAGCUGGAAUCUGUAGUAAUCGUGUCUCAAAAUGGCACGGUGAAUAUGUCCCUGCUCCUU